CUGACUGCAGGACACCAGCUCCUGCGAACACACACACACACACACACAUGGCAUUGCAUGAGGAAGCGGCACGGGACGAGCAGACAAUCAAAACAAGGAAUAUGAAGUGGAAGGCGCGCUGGCGGCACAUCAUCCUUUCGUGGCGGGAACAAUGAGGAUGGGAUAAUGAGGCGAGGGCUGAUUUAUUUGGCGAGGACAGUGGCUGCUGUGACCGUGCAGGGGGAGGAAGGUCUCACACUCACAUUGGCUUGAUUGGCGGCUUGAUUGGCAGCCUCCUCGCCGCCGACACUCUCGUCCUGAUCGCAUCCCUCCAGCUGCAACAUAUCAGCAACAUGUGGUGCUGUUGGAGUGGACUAAGCCGACACCAAGUGUGGCCCGCCUACUUUUGCAUGGACUUCAACAGAGUAAAUCCAUGAAAAUGUGUCACUAGGAGUUGUAAAAUUAGUUAGAAGGUAAGCAUUCCAGUUUAUUAUGGGCCGAUUUUACUAGCAACCUUUUUAGUGGGAAUAAACUGCUGUUGACGCAGCUUUUUUCCCUCCUUUAAUUACAGAUAAGCCAGUUUUUUUUCUUUUAGUUGUACAUUUUAGCACUGCGAGUGUCGUGCGACUCGCGGCUGCCUUUUAAAGGCCGUCGGAGCUCUGGUCAUGAAUAAAAGGGUGACAGCAGCUUGAAAAAAUAAAGAAAACUGAUUGAAACCUACUCAUUCUAACUUCAGCUCAGGCAACAUUGAUCUAAAUGAUAUUUAAGGACAUAAAUAGAACAAAACAAUCUUAUUUUACACUCAAUCUAAGGCAAGGGUCUCAGACGUUAUUUUUCGGCCCUCACCUUAGCACGAAAGUUUAAUGUUAGUACGGCCCGCAAUUUUUAUAUGAAUGCCGCUUGACAGCGUUGUGUGCGGAGCUGAAGGAAUCUACCAAUCACGGUGUGGUAUGUAAAUUUAGAGAGCCGAACAUUGACGUCACUUGCCGCUGUUCCACUAGACCCGCAGGCGCUCUUCCUCCCUCGCUCGGCCGCCUGAUAGCUCUAUCAAUUUCUCCCUCUCUCUCUCGCUCCCUCCCUUCCCCAGCGUUCCGGUAGCUUCCGAAGCACUCCGCCAAAGAACCAAGCGACAAUACAAAACUGUGGCGCACUGCGCUACCGCGCUGAUACUCCGACAGAGUCGUUGGCUAACUGUGCUACCAUAACUGUAAACUCCACCCCAUCCCAUUGGCUCCAGACAGAGACCAUUUUUGUUAUUUGGGUCCAAAAUGGCUCUUUCAACAAUCUGGGUUGCCUACCCCUGCGUAAGGGGAAAAGCGGCAAAUGAGUGA